rnacentral:ncRNA from 1 species
GCUAUUGUUUUUAACAUAUUUAUAAGAUGAUUUCUUUGUUGAUUUGUAUGUCCCUCCCCCACAGUAUAACCCCUGCUUUCAAGGCUAAAUACAGCAGGAGACCGAUAGCCAACAAGUAUUCUAAGGGAAAGUUGAAAAGAACUUUGAAGAGAGAGUUCAAGAAGGCAUGAAACUGUUAGGAGGUAAACAGGUGGGGUCCCUGCAGUCCGCCCUGAGGAUUCAACCAGGUGGCAUGAGUCCAGC